rnacentral:lncRNA from 1 species
AAUAAAAUAAAACUUAAAAUUUCUAUAGUACUCAAGAAACUCUAUUAUAUUAGCAUUUCACAACUUAAAAUGCUUGGUCUAAAACUUUUUUGGUCAUUAAGCAACUCUCACAUAGUCUUCUUUUUAUCUUGUUUAUGAAGAAACAAGAUUGAGGUUAUCUUCAAUCUUAUCAAUACAUUAUUUAUAUUCUAGUCAUGAUUUAAAAUUUUAUAGUUUUUUUGUAGUGGUUAUUAGUCACUUUGGAUUAUUUUUUUAAUAAAUUUAUGUUCUUUUGGUUUGAUUUGUUUGUUUUGUUUGAUUUUUUAUUUAUUUAAGUUACUCAAGAUAUACAUUGUGUUAUUUUUGAGUCUCUCAAGAAUUAUAUCCUUGACAUUUAAAACUAACUAUA